UAGUAGGUGGGGUAAUGGCUCACCUAGGCGACGAUCCCUAGCUGGUCUGAGAGGAUGACCAGCCACACUGGAACUGAGACACGGUCCAGACUCCUACGGGAGGCAGCAGUGGGGAAUAUUGCACAAUGGGCGCAAGCCUGAUGCAGCCAUGCCGCGUGUGUGAAGAAGGCCUUCGGGUUGUAAAGCACUUUCAGCGAGGAGGAAGGUGGUGA
rnacentral:rRNA from 1 species